rnacentral:rRNA from 1 species
AAUAGAGUUUAUCGUGGCUCAGAAACAGCGCUCGGGGCAGGCCUAACACAUACAAGUCUAACGCUGUACCAAUACAGAGUGGCACACGGGUGAGUAACGCGUGGGAACGUGCCCUUUGGUUCGGAAUAACUCAGGGAAACUUGAGCUAAUACCGGAUAAGCCCUAAGGGGGAAAGAUUUAUCGCCGAAGGAUCGGCCCGCGUCGGAUUAGCUAGUUGGUGAGGUAAUGGCUCACCAAGGCGACGAUCGGUAGCUGGUCUGAGAGGAUGAUCAGCCACACUGGGACUGAGACACGGCCCAGACUCCUACGGGAGGCAGCAGUGGGGAAUAUUGGACAAUGGGCGCAAGCCUGAUCCAGCCAUGCCGCGUGAGUGAUGAAGGCCUUAGGGUUGUAAAGCUCUUUCGCCGGGCGACGAUAAUGACGGUACCUGGAGAAUAAGUCU